rnacentral:rRNA from 1 species
CACGGAGGGUGCAAACGUUGCUCGGAAUCAUUGGGCGUAAAGCGUGCGCAGGCGGUUCGUUGUGUCGGCGGUGAAAGCCCCGGGCUUAACCUGGGAAUGGCCGUUGAAACUGGCGAACUGGAGUGUGGCAGAGGGGGGUGGAAUUCCGCGUGUAGCAGUGAAAUGCGUAGAGAUGCGGAGGAACACCGAUGGCGAAGGCAGCCCCCUGGGCUAACACUGACGCUCAGGCACGAAAGCGUGGGGAGCAAACAGG